GCAGGUGGAGUGCAGUUGAGGUCUGGGACCACCAUUGUCUACAGGCAAAAGAACUUUGAAUAGCAAGUACUGGGUGAGGAGAUGAACCUAGGCGAGCAGCUACUGUGCAGCGGCGAGUACUUCAGCGGCAGCAGCACCUGUGUGUGGGGAGGAACAUCCCCUGGGCACGCGCGGACGGCAGCUCACCUCCACCAGCGGGCGGCAGCAGAGCACCAGCUCGCCUCCACCAGCGGGCGGCAGCAGAGCACCAGCUCGCCUACCACCUGGGCGUGCGGGCGUAGGAGAGGAGCCCCUGGGCGUGGGAGAGGAGGAGCGCCUGGGCGGGGGUGGAGGGUGGAGGAGGUGGAGGUGGAGGUGGAGGGCUGGGCCGGGGGCGGAGGUGGAAGACGCUGGUGUAGAAGACGAGCUGAUUCAAAUUCGAACUGGGGAUAUAACUGUCCAUUUGCCCAUUUUCACCUGGUCGGAAGAAUCCCCCAGCGACCUAUAUUACGGAACGGAGGGAGUAGUUUAUACUCGCGUGCUCUAGAAGUGGUCUGUCUAGGCGACAAAAACACGGUUGCAUACGAUACGAGAAGGCCAUGGAGAUACUGAAAACCGCAGUGCACAUCCUUACCCCGCUGGCUGCAGAGUGUGAUGGUAAAGGCCUUGAUACGGUGAUAGUAAAACUCUCAUGCUCCAAUCCGCUGGUAGUGGACGUGGGGCUGCUGAUGGUUGUCAAAGCAAUGUAGAGUCAACUCCUAAGAGGAGGCGAAAGGCAAGGAGGCCAACCAAUAGUAGGGACAAAAGCCUCCGUACGGUGACCACUCCACAAAGAACAUAACAAGCUGGGCAUACAUUGAGCUGUACAUGCGACAAAAAGAACACAAGGAAGUGGUGUAUGAAGUCGCAGUCGAGGGAGGGGCCAGGUGAACGAUUUGUUUGCGAGUGCGGAAACUUUGAGCACACGGGUUUGUGUUGCUUCCAUUCAGUCAAGGUUUCGAGAGGCGGUGGAAGGCAGGUAGGCCAACCAGUAACAGAUACUGGAGCGCAAAGAAGAGGAAGAGGAGGUUGUUUAUACAAAAAAAAGAAAAACAAGCCGACGGUGGAGUUGGGACAAGCAAACGCACCCGGGUUUGCAGCAGUUGCACACAAGCGGGAGAGAAGAGCAAGACUUGCCUGGACAGAGGUGACAUUCCAAAGAAGGAGCCUAAAUGCACCAACUUUGUUUCAUCAAGAAACAAAUGCACCAACUGUGGCGUAGGUGGGCACCGUGAAACACCUGUGGUAACACAGAAAUCGUCCUUCUUGUGGUGCCUUCCUGUUGACACAGAAGUCCGGCUGGAGGGGACGGUACUGUAGGCAGUUGCUGGUAUAUAUAUAUAUAUAU